rnacentral:hammerhead_ribozyme from 1 species
AUCUAGAUGACAAGUCCCAAAUAGGAUGAGACACGCGUCCUGGAU